rnacentral:rRNA from 1 species
UACGUAGGGUGCGAGCGUUGUCCGGAAUUAUUGGGCGUAAAGAGCUUGUAGGCGGUUUGUCGCGUCUGCUGUGAAAACCUAAGGCUCAACCUUGGGCUUGCAGUGGGUACGGGCAGACUAGAGUGCGGUAGGGGUGACUGGAAUUCCUGGUGUAGCGGUGGAAUGCGCAGAUAUCAGGAGGAACACCGAUGGCGAAGGCAGGUCGCUGGGCCGCAACUGACGCUGAGGAGCGAAAGCAUGGGGAGCGAACAGG